rfam:Salmo salar isolate Sally breed double haploid chromosome ssa09, whole genome shotgun sequence.
UUAAUGUAGAAGUGUAAGUCGCUCUGGAUAAGAGCGUCUGCUAAAUGACUAAAA